UCAUCUGGGCUGCAGUUGGUGACUGCUCGAAGGGGUGGGAGGAACAGUAUAAAGUCCUGUCCCCUUCCUGCCUUCAAGGGCACCCCUGAAGGACCAUAUCCACUGUGGACCCCCUUGGGAUCAGCCGAGGUCUGUAGAGGUGACAUUGCAGCCCAGCACCUCCCUCCUCCGCCCUGCCCUCCUCUGUCCUCCUUCCACAGGUGUGGCCAAGGGCACUGCCCAGUUGGCCUGUGACCCCCAGCUGAGGCUGCUUCCUGGGCAGCUGACUUCAAGUUUGUGACCUGAGCUCUCCAGGCCCCCGAGCGGCUGGUGCCUUGGCCCUGCAGUUCUGCGGCCAAGACUCCUCCUCUGGGAUCUCGUCUUACCCUGCUGCGGGUGCCAGGGCUGCAUGAAGCAAGGGCGAAAGUCCCCUUCGCCCGGGCGCUGCCCUCUGCCUGCUGUCCCCUGUGCUCCUGUUCCCCGUGGCUGCCCAGGGACAGGUGUGUGGGAUGGAGGACGCGGGAGAGGCUGAGUCCUCCCCAGUGGACCCCCAGAUGCAGACCCUGAGGCAAGGGAGAGUGAGAAAGUGAAGGAAAGAACACAGCUGGAAAUGCAACCAAGAAGGAACCCCAGCCCGGACCACUGUGAGCAAGGAGAGCCGAGCCCCGGGGAGCCCUGAGACAGUGUGGGAGUGGAGGCCUGGGGCGCCUCCAGGCAAGGCAGCGGGAUGUCUAUGCCCCAAGCCCUGCCAGUCGUGGAUGGAGACGCACACUUUAGUGCGGGCUCCAGAGACAGAGGGAGCCCCAGGCCGAGAGCUGUGGGUGCUGGGCAGGUGGGCAUUGGCCAGCAUUGCCCCCACUCAUGGCGGGUCCACCUUAAUUCGACGGGUGUGACACUCUCCUCACACAUGUGCACAUUCAAGAGGCAACUGUCUGUUUCUAUAACUGGGUGCAUUUCGGUCUGGAGCCGUCGAGCCGGGUGGUGGCCAUGAAUCCCAGGCAACUUGGGGGGCCCAAUCCAGGGUUGCCUUUUGGGGGCCUUGGGGCGGCUAGUGCAGUUCCACAUGCUGUUAAGGACCUUGAGAUGGGAGAUUAUUCUGGAUGGUCAGGGUGGGCACAGUUUAAUCACAGCCCCUCUAAGAGGGACUGGGAGGGUCAGGGUCAGAGGAGGAGAGGGGACGACGGAAGGGAGAGAGAGGCUGGGAGAUGCCGUGCAGCCAAGGAGGGCAGGAACCUCUAGAAACCACAAAAGGCGAGGACACAAUCUCUCCCCUGAGGCAGAGACCCAGGGCUGCCCCGCACAGUCGCGCAGAUCGUGUACUGCCCUGCUCCUGGGGCUCAUUCACACAGGUUGCCAUGGCUGUGGGGUCCCUGGGGCUGGGCUAUCUGCCAACCUGGGGGACGCUGCACCCUGUUUUCUGUCCUGUCUACUCCAGCUUUUCACACUCUCUGUUGCCCUUGUCCUUGGGCAUCUCAGUGACUCGAAGGAAUUGGGUCUUGAGACACAGCCGAGCCUGUGAGCGCUGACCUGUGUAAAGAAGACACCAGAAUGAGAUGUCUCCACACACAGAGAGCUGCAGCCGAUGCCGGCCGGUGACUUGGGACUUGGAUGCUUAACAGGAGGCUCCCCCUCUCUUGGGAGGUAGAGAGCAGUGAGGAAGGGGACUCAGCCUCCAUGCCUCCCGCCAGCCCAGCUGCGCCCGAAUCACCUCCCUCCUGAAAGGAUGUCAGCCUCUGCUUGGACACCGUGGAGACAGGGCCCUCCUUGUGCUUCAGAAGCAUCAACGUGUCAGAAAAUCAUCUUCACGCCAAGUCUGGAAAAAAUGGCUUUGAGGUUGUGCACACAAAGGAAGGAGGGAGAGCCCCAGGUGUCGCGGAGGACCAUGCGGCUGACAGAGCCAGCAGGGCGGUGGCGUGUGAGCCGUGCUCUGGAUAUAUAAGGAUCUGACGCUGCUGGCAAUGUCUGAGCUCUAUGCUCGCCCAUCUGUCGGCUGCUAUCAUCACCGGGUGGGAUUAGCGGAGAUCCACUCUUUCAUAUUUAAAUCUUCACAAGAGAAUGAAUCACUUUUAUAAUAAAAGAAAAAGACCGUCCAUGUUGUUAAUGUGCACACAGCAAGUUGGAAGGCCGGGGAGGGCAGCGGGUGGGGACGCUGACCCAGGCGCCCCCCUGCUGCCUGGAACAGCCCCAGGCCUGCUCCACUGUCCCCUCGGGGUUCCCUGUCGAAGAGGCCAAAGAGUGGAGGGGCUGGUGCCUAGAGGGUGUGGAGCUGCAGGUGCACAGUACAGCUGGCACCUGGCAGAGGUGGUUCAUUAUCAAGCAAAGGAUGAACAAGGCACUUGGAGCCCCUUCACAACUGGAACCUCCACUGCAGGCACAAGGCUGGGCUGGACUGGGGUCUCCUCCUCUCCAUGACAGCCUUGGGCAACCUGGAGCCCGCCACUGCCCCUCCCCAGGUGCUGUCCCCUUGAAGCUUCUCCCAACGGUUUAGUAUUGUAGAGUUGGCACAUCUCACGUGAACAAGAACAGCCAUCACUGAAACGAAUGCUCAGAGCGGACCGGCGUUUUUUCCCAGCCACCCUGGGGUGAGCAUGGCUCACGUUGCACACCAGGAAGCCCAGGAGCGGGGAAUUGAACCAGUUCCAUCCAGUCCCUGGCAAGGGACCACCCUGUGUCCGAAGGCCACGUUCAUUUUUCAGAUUGCAGGAAAUGGCUCAGCCUGAAGUUCAAGUUUUCCUCUGAGCUCCUGUUGAUUAAUGUGGCAAAGAGAGCAUGCUGUGGAAUAUGCUGGCAGAAAUGUCAGGAUUGCUAAAGCGUUUCACUGCAAAUGCUCAGGCUGGUGGGGAGGUGCCUUGGCACAAUUCUGCAGAGGGUAUUUGGCAAUAGCAACAAAAUCACAAAGGCACAAACCCUGUGACCCAGAAACACCAAUUUCACGGUAGGAGCUGCUGCCGCAGGGGUUUGCCCAGAGCACAGGGAAAGAUGUGCUCACUGUACUCGCUGGGACAAGCAAGAGAUUGGAAAGAGCUCAGUGUCGUCAUUCAGGGUGUCUCCUGUGUCUCCUGAUCGCUAUAAGGGGUUCCAGGCUGGUCCCCGGGGGAGGAGCUCCUGAUCAGACGCAGGCCCUGCCCCCUCCCCAGCACAGAGCUGGUGAAGGAAGUGGACAUUCAUUCAUUCAGGAUGUUCUGAGUAUUUCAGCACCACCAGGCCCUGGGAAAUCAAGGUCUCAGCAGAUGACGGUGGCAGUUUGAUUUUUGGCUGAAUUGUCCUCUACAGCAGUCACUGGGGGUUGCGUUUUUCUCACACUGCCCAGUCAUGCAGCACACGGAAGCCAUCCAUAUGCCAUGGGAAAAUGCUUUGUCUCCUGCCUGGGCGCCCCCCGAGCCAGUGAGUACAGUCCUGCCUAGUGGCAAGAUCUUGGCGUCUUUGGCUGCCACACUUGCGGGUUCGAUCCUGUGCCGGGGACGGAGGCUGCCCCCUCUCUGCCAAGCUGCCCGGGAUCCUCAUGCUGAAUUUCUGAUUCCAAGAAGCUUUUGGGUGUCUUGGAGAAGCGGCCUGUACUAGCUCUGUGGCUGGUGGCUGUGAUUGCGGUAGAAAGUCCAGGGGUAUCUGCCGUGGGAUUCCCUGGGCUGGGCUGCAGGGGCCACCUCCCUCCCAACCUCCUGCCACAAGGGAGGGCAGAGCCACAUGGCCUCAACAGUCCAAGUCAGGAUGGUCCCGGUGAGGACAAUCCUCGCCGUGUCUCGCUAAUGAAGGCGGCGGUGGCCAUGGGACAGGGCAGCCACUGAGAGGUGCUGGGGUCGUGGGAAUGUCGGCAGGUUUUCUCCCUGGCCCCCUCUGGGCACCGGCUGAGGCACCUCUGGAGGUCCUUCCUGCUCCCAUCGAAGCUCCCGGCUCCACUCAGAAGCACUCAGAGGCCUUCAGGAAGGAGGCGGCCUGAGUUUACCCUCACAUUCCAUUUGAGCAGAGUUCUGCUAACAGAUCAGAGGACAUGCAUGGAGAGGGGGCACUCAAACCCCCGGGAGGCAGCAUCCUGCACCUGCCAGCCCAGCGCCCCUUGCUCGUGCCACCUGUGUGGGCUCCUGAGAGCCACCACCACCGCUGCUGACCCUGGCUGGGUGGCGGGUCUGUUCUGCCCUCCCCUGCUUGGGCGUCCGGAUCUGAGGCCGUCCCGCGUCCCUCCUGUUCUCCUGCUCUGGCCGAAGUCCACCUUCUGCAGGACAACAAGGUGCUGGUGAGACUGGGGGCAGGUAAAAACUCCCUCUUCCCACUCCGGCUGCUGGGAGCGGGGACAGGGGAGGCCAGGCCCAGCCUCAGGAGAUAAACCCAUUCCCUGUGAGUCACCGCAGCCCGGGGAUAGUUUAAACAGCACCAAUGUAUCCAACACAGAUUUUAAAUGUCAAAACAUUUAAAAUACCAACCUCACCAACACGGCUGGCUGCAAAAAUAGCUACCUCUGGGGGCUGGUGGGUUGUAGGGUCUGGCCCCGGCCCCCUGGCUGCCCCCGUUGGAGGAUCCUGCCGUUUCCAGAGGGAGGGAACAGAGUCUGCCGCAGGGCCACGUGUGGGGACAGAGGCGGGGCCUUGCAGAGGAAGUCUGGCCCUCCCCCGCCUCCCCCACCUGCCCACCCUGGAGACUGAAGCCGAGUAGGAUUGGGGGGUGAGGGGAAUGCACCCCGACUCCUGGGGCCGGCCUUCUCUUCCCAGACGCACAGCUGGAAGCAGGGGCUUUGGCUUGCGCCGUCCUUUCCUGUAAUCUCUCCCGCUCUGGGUAAGGAGCUGCCCCCCACCUCCACAACAAGCAAAGGGAGCACGUCCAUCGGCAGCGCGGGGACUCGGAGGAAAGCCUGCGAUGCUGCUGGGGGUGAGGGGAGGUGAGGGGAGGACUGAGCGAGGGGAAGGACAGGCCCCUUCCUGGACAGAAGGACCCGUUGAGAUCACGUCUGUGCAUCCAGUCCCUAUAAAACACGAGAGCUGUUGUGCAUAGACACAUGGACUCUACAGUUCAAGUGGGAAAUAGUCUCAGAAUGGCCAGAAAGGCUCUUGAAAGGCAGGUCGCUAGGACAAGGGAGCGUCAGCCUUGCCAGCCACUGGGAUGUACCUGAGUGUCACUGAGAGUGACCUUAAUGAGGAGAAUUUGGCAUCGACAGUGCCAGAUCAGACAGAAGCUCCAUCUGUGAUGGAGACAGCAUCCAGAUCAUCGGGGAGAAGACUGGCCACCCAGGCAUGGCGCUGGACAGCUGACGGCCUGGACCACAGGAAGCUGGGUCCUCAGGGCCCCUGUCCCACCCGCCUCCUUCCCCUGGGGAGCCGUGCACCCUCCAUCCCACUGGCAUGUGGCCCAGACCUGGCCAAUCAACACAUCCCAAAAGGCCUGGGUAGGCCCUCAUUGGACAGGUCAGCCAAACAUUUGCAUCAGUCACAUUUGUCUGAUGAGGGCCAGCCCCAAACCUUUGCUAGACACCAGCUUUGCCUGGGCUCACUGAGCAGGAAAUGCAUCCGUGGCCGUCAGUGCCGUUUUCCUACCUUUUAGAGAAGACCUGCCUAAGAAUAAAGCCAGCACCGGUGAAGCGGGGCACCCCAUGACAUUGUUUGUGCUCCUGGGUCAAGCUGCGCCUGCAGCUAUUAUUCUUGGACUUUCAGUGUGUCUUGAGUGAAAUAAAUAUUCCUUUUCUUAAGGGAUAAGACAAUUUGACUUAGUUCCUGGAGUUAGUACCCUAACUCAUAGAGAUCUUACCCCAAAAAAAUUCCACAUGGUAAGAAGAUUAAAACCUAAAACCAAAAACCGUAACAUUACUAUAAGAAAUCAUGGAAGUUUUAAAUUUAAAUGUAUAUAUUUUUAACC
rnacentral:lncRNA from 1 species